rnacentral:rRNA from 1 species
ACACUAUCAUUAACUGAAUCCAUAGGUUAAUGAGGCGAACCGGGGGAACUGAAACAUCUAAGUACCCCGAGGAAAAGAAAUCAACCGAGAUUCCCCCAGUAGCGGCGAGCGAACGGGGAGGAGCCCAGAGCCUGAAUCAGCAUGUGUGUUAGUGGAAGCGUCUGGAAAGGCGCGCGAUACAGGGUGACAGCCCCGUACACAAAAGCGCAUGUGCUGUGAGCUCGAUGAGUAGGGCGGGACACGUGGUAUCCUGUCUGAAUAUGGGGGGACCAUCCUCCAAGGCUAAAUACUCCUGACUGACCGAUAGUGAACCAGUACCGUGAGGGAAAGGCGAAAAGAACCCCGGCGAGGGGAGUGAAAAAGAACCUGAAACCGUGUACGUACAAGCAGUGGGAGCACAGGUUUACCUGUGUGACUGCGUACCUUUUGUAUAAUGGGUCAGCGACUUAU